AACAAACGCUGGCGGCGUGCCUAAUACAUGCAAGUCGAACGAGGAAGUCCCUUCGGGGAUUGUACUAGUGGCGUACGGGUGAGUAACGCGUGGAUAAUCUUCCUUAAGAUGGGGAAUAACCAGUCGAAAGAUUGGCUAAUACCGCAUAAGACCACAAGGUCCUUGGACCAAGGGGUUAAAGUCUUACGACGUCUUAAGAUGAGUCUGCGCCCGAUUAGCUAGUUGGUGAGGUAAUGGCUCACCAAGGCGA
rnacentral:rRNA from 1 species